rnacentral:sRNA from 1 species
UUGGCUUUUCGACACUGACUAUCCUCGCGAUGCAGGUUCUGGAGAUCUACUUAACUCAACAUUCCGUAUUGACCAUCGUAACCAUGGAGAAGGAACAUCACAAAUAACAGAGUCGCCGAAAAAUAGAGAUUUCCCACUGUUUUUCUCUUCUUUUGAUGACACUACCGUACUCUUCAAUACAACUAUUGCCGGAGACAUUGAUGUAAAUGAGAGAAAUCAAGCUUCCGGUGAUUGGAUUUUCAGAAAAGAUAAGUCUCCCACAAAUGAUGUAAGUGCUUUCGAAUCAUUCUCCAAGAAUUAUGUUUUUGCAGCCGAUUGAAAAUGACCAAGAGACAGAUGAAAAGACCAAAUCUGAGCUUGGAGAUGGUGGCGAAAUUGUUUUCAAAGAGCCGGUACAAAGUACAAAGGUAUUUUUCUUGAAAAAUAUGCAUUUUUAUUUUUUUUAAUAUUAUUAAUUUUCAGAAAACACGCGGAAGAAAACGAGGAACAUCAGUUCGCAUCGAGAAACUAUCG